rnacentral:rRNA from 1 species
UGAGGAACAUGACCUUCGGCGGGGGAUAGCCGGCCCAACGGCCGGGUAAUACCGCGUACGACCACAUGGGGACAUCCCUGAGUGGUGAAAGCAGCAAUGCGCCGAUGGAGUGCCUCGCGGCCUAUCAGCUAGUUGGUGAGGUAACGGCUCACCAAGGCGACGACGGGUAGCUGGUCUGAGAGGAUGGCCAGCCACAUUGGGACUGAGACACCGGCCCAGACCUCUCGGCGGGG